rnacentral:rRNA from 1 species
GUUUUAAAUUAUAAAGAAACUUUCAAAUAUUUAAGGGUAAAAUUUUAAUUUUUGUAAGAGACAAUGAGUUAAAACAUGAAAUUUAUAUUAUGGACCAGGAUUAGAUACCCUGUUACUUAUAAUUAAAAAAUUUUGGAAUAGUAAUAAUAAUGAAAUUUAACGGAUUUGGCGGCAAGAUAGCCAUUUAGAGGAACCUGCCCUGUAAACGAUGAACCACGAAAUACUUUACUUUUAUUUGUUAUCAGUUUGUAUACCGCUGUUGUCAGUCAGUUUUAGUAGAAAACUUUCUAUUAUGAUAAAAUCAAAUAUUUCAAGUAAAGGUGCAGCUUAUGUAAAAGAUAGAGGUGGGUUACAUUUAUAAAAUUAAAACGGAUAAAGAUUUUUGAAAAAUACUUUUGAAGGUGGAUUUAAAUGUAAAGUUUAAGAAAACUUGAUGUGAGCUCUAUCUUGUGUACACACCGCCCGUCGCUCUCUUUUUUAAAA